UGGUAUUACCAUGAUGUUGUUGGGCU
rnacentral:piRNA from 1 species